rnacentral:rRNA from 1 species
AGAAUCAACGCUGGCGGCGUGCCUAACACAUGCAAGUCGAACGAGAAAGUGGGAGCAAUCCCACGAGUAAAGUGGCGCACGGGUGAGUAACACGUGACUAACCUACCCUUGAGUGGGGGAUAACCUAGGGAAACCGUGGGCUAAUAACCGCAUAAUACCUACGGGUCAAAGGAGCAAUUCGCUUUAGGAGGGGGUCGCGGCAGAUUAGUUAGUUGGCGGGGUAAUGGCCCACCAAGACAGUGAUCUGUA